rnacentral:rRNA from 1 species
UACGUAGGUCCCGAGCGUUGUCUGGAUUUAUUGGGCGUAAAGCGAGCGCAGGUGGUUUAUUAAGUCUGGUGUAAAAGGCAGUGGCUCAACCAUUGUAUGCAUUGGAAACUGGUAGACUUGAGUGCAGGAGAGGAGAGUGGAAUUCCAUGUGUAGCGGUGAAAUGCGUAGAUAUAUGGAGGAACACCGGUGGCGAAAGCGGCUCUCUGGCCUGUAACUGACACUGAGGCUCGAAAGCGUGGGGAGCAAAUAGG